rnacentral:rRNA from 1 species
AUUGAACGCUGGCGGCAGGCCUAACACAUGCAAGUCGAGCGAGCGGCGGACGGGUGAGUAAUGUCUGGGAAACUGCCUGAUGGAGGGGGAUAACUACUGGAAACGGUAGCUAAUACCGCAUACCAUCAGAUGUGCCCAGAUGGGAUUAGCUAGUAGGUGGGGUAACGGCUCACCUAGGCGACGAUCCCUAGCUGGUCUGAGAGGAUGCCCAGCCAGACUGGAACGGGUACACGGUCCAGACGCCUACGGGAGGCAGCAGUGGGGAAUAUUGGACAAUGGGCGGAAGCCUGAUGCAGCCAUGCCGCGUGUGUGAAGAAGGCCUUCGGGUUGUAAAGCACUUUCAGCGGGAAGGCGUUACCCGCAGAAGAAGCACCGGCUAACUCCGUGCCAGCAGCCGCGGUAAUAC